UACAGAGGGGGCAAGCGUUAUUCGGAAUUAUUGGGCGUAAAGGGCGCGUAGGCGGCCUGGCAAGUGGAAGGUGAAAUCCCUCGGCUUAACCAAGGAACUGCCCUCCAAACUGCUUGGCUUGAGACCGGGAGAGGUGAGUGGAAUCCCAGUGUAGCGGUGAAAUGCGUAGAUAUUGGGAGGAACACCAGUGGCGAAGGCGGCUCACUGGACCGGAACUGACGCUGAUGCGCGAAAAGCUAGGG
rnacentral:rRNA from 1 species